CUGAUUCGAAGAAAGGAAUUAGUACCGCGUGUUGUACAAUGCUGCCAACAGGUAUUCAAAAAUAGACGAUCGACGUGUAUCCGCAAGUACCGUUGUAUCUCCAAUACAGCAACCGCACCUUUAUUUUUAAAUACCCUUGAUAUUUAAAUCGAAAAUAUAAGCUAAUUCGAAAAAGCCACAGCCCAACUGAUAAAAAUCUAUUCUAGACGUGUGACUUAUCAGAUGGGUGGAGUCGUUUUGUAAGUACGGGACAAGUCAACUGUGAGUACGCUAAGUUCAUAAUUUCCGAGAAAAAGAAGAUACUACUGAGGGCGUUGUGGAACUGCUGUUUAUGUUUCUUAGAAUAGUUAGACCAUACGUAUACACGAUAACUGUUUAUGGGACUGAGACCCAAUGAGAAAACAAUGUUUGUAAAUAUGCAGCGGGAAUAAAAGUAAUUUACACCAUCGA